rnacentral:rRNA from 1 species
GAUGAACGCUGGCGGCGUGCUUAAUACAUGCAAGUCGAACGGAGACUGUAGCAAUACUGUCUUAGCGGCGAACGGGUGAGUAACGCGUUGGUGACCUGCCCCGAAGAGGGGGAUAACAGUCCGAAAGGAUUGCUAAUACCCCAUGUGGUCGUUUGGAUUAGAUGCCUUAUGACUAAACGGAUUUAUUCGCUUCGGGAGGGGCCUGCGUCCCAUCAGCUAGUUGGUGAGGUAAUAGCUUACCAAGGCGAUGACGGGUAGGGGACCUGAGAGGGGGGCCCCCAACAAUGGAACUGAAACACAGUCCAUACACCUACGGGUGGCAGCAGUAGGGAAUAUUGGUAAUCUGGGAAACCGGGAACCAGCAACGCCGCGUGCGCGAUGACGGCCUUCGGGUUGUAAAGCGCUUUUUAAAGGGAUGAGGAAGGACAGUACCUUUAGAAUAAGCCUCGGCUAACUACGUGCCAGCAGCCGCCGUAACAC